rnacentral:lncRNA from 1 species
GUUUCCCUACAAAUGUGUGUUGUUAUUACACCGUGCCUGGCCUGUAAGUGCGCAAUAGCUUUCCAGUCAUCGACACAUUGUAUGGAGGAACGAGCAUAAAAGUAGACUACAAAUGCUACAAUACAAUUACAACAAGUAGACUAUUGUGAUAGUAGACCGCAGCAGUUUAUAUGGGGCUGAGUCACUGGCUUACUGGUGUUCUUCCAUGCCGUCCAUGGGAGGGGUGCGUCACUUGAGUGGGUUGAGUCACUGACGUGGUCUUCCUGUCUGAGUUGGCGCCCCCCUUGGGUUGUGCCAUGGCGGAGAUCGUUGUGGGCUAUACUCGGCCUUGUCUUAGGACGGACCUGAGCCCUAGGACCAUGCCUCAGGACUACCUGGUAUGAUGACUCCUUGCUGUCCCCAGUCCACCUGGCCGUGCUGCUGCUCCAGUUUCAACUGUUCUGCCUGCGGCUAUGGAACCCUGACCUGUUCACCGGACGUGCUUGUUGCACCCUCGACAACUACUAUGAUUAUUAUUAUUUGACCAUGCUGGUCAUUUAUGAACAUUUUAACAUUUUAACAUCUUGACCAUGUUCUGUUAUAAUAUCCACCCUGCACAGCCAGAAGAGGACUGGCCACCCCUCAUAGCCUGGUUCCUCUCUAGGUUUCUUCCUAGGUUUUUGGCCUUUCUAGGGAGUUUUUCCUAGGGAGUU